rnacentral:misc_RNA from 1 species
GAUGAAGAACGUAGCGAAAUGCGAUACCUGGUGUGAAUUGCAGAAUCCCGCGAACCAUCGAGUCUUUGAACGCAAGUUGCGCCCGAGGCCACCCGGCCGAGGGCACGCCUGCCUGGGCGUCACGCCAAAACACGCUCCCACCCCCCCUCACCGGGGGAGCGGGACGCGGCGUCUGGCCCCCCGUGCCGCGAGGCGCGGUGGGCCGAAGAUCGGGCUGCCGGCGUACCGUGCCGGGCACAGCGCGUGGUGGAUCUCUACUCGGCGCAGUGCACCCGGCGCGUAGCCGGUGCAGCGGCCCCUAAGGACCCAACGAACGGAGCGCGAGCCGCUCCGACCGCGACCCCAGGUCAGGCGGGACUACCCGCUGAGUUUAAGCAUAUCAAUAAGCGGAGGA